AUGGCCUCCAUUCCGCCCCCGCCGCAGUAUGGUCUCGAGUGCCUCGACCGCCGCACCGUCGCGCUCUCCGACGGCACGGUUCGCACCUACUUCGCGUUGCCCCUAGAGCCUCCACCGCAACUCCGCCAGCCGCCGAUAUUCCCUGCGCCCCACUUAGGCCCGCCCGGCCCGGGGCCUGGCCUUAACAGGUGGAUUCCGCCACUGAUGCACGCUGCACCUCCUCCCGGGCCGCCCCAGAAGCGCAAGCGGGAGGGUCAAAGCAAUGGUGGCGCCCCCGGUGAGUCCUCGGGCCGCCAACACCAACAGCAUCAGAAACCAGAGGAGAGGCGUACUGCAAAGCAGGUCAAGGUCGAGACGUCAGAGCUGGAUGCGAAAGCACUCGAGAGCUCCUUUCUUAAGAUGGUGAGGGUGAUCAAUGAAAACACGGAGGUGAAGAAGAAUUACCGGGCCAAUGGACAGAUUUCCCAGCUGAGAUGCGUUGUCUGUAAUAGGGACUCGAUGGAUUUGCAUGCACUCCUCAAUCAUUCAUACAAUACGAGGAAUCCAGAGCUUCGUGCAGAUCAUCUUGGGUUGCACAAAGCUAUAUGUAUUCUUAUGGGUUGGAACUACUCCAUAGAUCCUGUAAACAGAAAGGCUUACCAAACAUUAUCUAUUGCUGAUGCUGAAGCCAAUCGAGGAGAUCAUAUUUUAUGGCCACCAACAAUCAUAGUUGAGAACACAUACAAGUCAAAUAACGACGGGAAAAAGGAUGUCAUGACUAAUAAAGAGAUGGAUGGCAAGCUCAGAGAAAUGGGGUUCGCCGGUGUGAGUGUGAAGCCACUAGUGGGCAAGGAUGGAGCCAUGCUAGUGACAUUCGCAAGCAACCUGGCUGGCCUGAAGGAAGCUGUGCGGCUUGCUGAGCUCUUGGAGGCGGAAGGCCAUGGACGAGCGCAGUGGGUCCACGCCCGGGGCCUCACCCCAUCUUUUGUUGGGGGCAGUAACCCCAUGUUUGUCAAGGUGGAUGAGAAGGGCGAACCGACAUGGGUCCUCUAUGGCUAUUUGGCCACGGCAUGGGACUUGGACACGCUUGACGCGGAGUUGAGGCAAAAUGUUGUAAUAAAGAGCAUGAAAGAGCUCGAUUUAUCUGAGUAG
rnacentral:rRNA from 1 species